rnacentral:rRNA from 1 species
UACGUAGGUGGCAAGCGUUGUCCGGAUUUACUGGGCGUAAAGGGCGUGUAGGCGGUUUGUUAAGUGCAGGGUGAAAGCUCCCGGCUCAACUGGGAGAGGUCCUUGCAUACUGGCAAACUCGAGGGAGGCAGAGGAAAGUGGAAUUCCCGGUGUAGUGGUGAUAUGCGUAGAUAUCUGGAGGAACACCGGUGGCGAAGGCGGCAUUCUGGACCGACAUUGACGCUGAGGAGCGAAAGCCAGGGGAGCAAACGGG